GGGCGCUUGGUCUAGGGGUAUGAUUUUCGUUUUGCAUAUGAAAGGUCAUGGGUUCAAUUCCCAUAGUGUCCA
rnacentral:tRNA from 1 species